GAAAAAACACAUACUUUUCUUUGUUUUGCCAUCAAACGCUUUCUUUCUAUGCGAAAGGGAUAGUUUCUUGCUACUACAAAUCUUUCUAACCCUAAAUUCAAUUUAAUUUCAUUCUAGUCAACAAUCAAUUCAUAAUUUGUUUUCUGUUUGCGACACUCUUUCGUUCUCCGUCAAUCUUGAUUAUCGCGCUCAAAAACCUCACAACACAAUGUAACACGUUCGUGUAACUCGCUCCGAGUCUCGUCCUCUUCGUUUUCAAUUGUUUUUAUCAUGCCGAUGGCUAAAGCGGAUUCCAAAGUCGUUGAUAACCGCGAGAUCAAAGAUGAAUUAUCGUGCUUGGAAUCAUCGUUGUUGGUUAAUCUCAUACAUGACUAACAAACAGGUGCUAUAUGAAAUGAAGAAAUCCAGAAGUUGGGCUGCACUGCACGUUUCUGAUAAUUGUUGCUUUCAUUAUCGCAGUGUAAGUUUUGAUUUAGUUGUUUGAUCCAGAUACUGGUUCUUAUAGUUUACACAAUUUAUACACCUUUUGAGUAGGAAGACAUUUAAUACGUUAUUUGAUGUGAUUGAGAUUUAGCGCUCUUGACAAUCAUAGCGGAGGACCAAAGUUAUGCAGAAGAACCUGCAUCUUAUGGUCAUAAUGCUGAUAUUGUCCAAGUAGUGAAGG